rnacentral:tRNA from 1 species
UCCCUGGUGGCUCAGACAGUAAAGAAUCUGCCUGCAAUGCAGGAGACCUGGGUUCGAUUCCUGGGUUGGGAA